rnacentral:sRNA from 1 species
UAACUGGACAUUUUUUCAUUAUGUUAGUU